rnacentral:rRNA from 1 species
UGAGGAAUAUUGGUCAAUGGGCGAAAGCCUGAACCAGCCAAUCCGCGUGCAGGAUGACGGCCCUAUGGGUUGUAAACUGCUUUUGUACGAGAAGAAAUCCCUGACGUGUCAGGAGCUGACGGUACCGUACGAAUAAGCAUCGGCUAACUCCGUGCCAGCAGCCGCGGUAAUACGGAGGGUGCAAGCGUUAAUCGGAAUUACUGGGCGUAAAGCGCGCGUAGGCGGCCGAAUCAGUCGGGUGUGAAAGCCCCGGGCUCAACCUGGGAACUGCAUUCGAUACUGUUUGGCUGGAGUAUGGGAGAGGGCAGUGGAAUUCCACGUAUAGCGGUGAAAUGCGUAGAUAUGUGGAGGAACACCAGUGGCGAAGGCGACUGCCUGGCCCAAUACUGACGCUGAGGUGCGAAAGCGUGGGGAUCAAACAGGAUUAGAUACCCUGGUAGUCCACGCCGUAAACGAUGUCAACUAGCCGUUGGGGGACUUGAUCCUUUAGUGGCGCAGCUAACGCGAUAAGUUGACCGCCUGGGGAGUACGGCCGCAAGGUUA